rnacentral:rRNA from 1 species
UACAGAGGGUGCAAGCGUUGUUCGGAAUUAUUGGGCGUAAAGCGCACGUAGGCGGCUUUGUAAGUUAGAGGUGAAAGCCCAGGGCUCAACCCUGGAAUUGCCUUUAAGACUGCAUCGCUAGAAUUGUGGAGAGGUAAGUGGAAUUCCGAGUGUAGAGGUGAAAUUCGUAGAUAUUCGGAAGAACACCAGUGGCGAAGGCGGCUUACUGGUCCGGUACUGACGCUGAGGUGCGAAAGCGUGGGGAGCAAACAGG